rnacentral:rRNA from 1 species
AGGAUGAACGCUGGCGGCGUGCUUAACACAUGCAAGUCAUGGGGGCCCAGCAAUGGGCAACCGGCGAACGGGUGCGUAACACGUGAGCAACCUACCCAGGUGUGGGGGAUAGCCGUCCCAACGGACGGGUAAUACCGCAUACGCUCAACACGAGGCAUUUCGAGUUGAGGAAACCUUCGGGGCACCAUGAGGGGCUCGCGGCCUAUCAGCUAGUUGGCGAGGUAACGGCUCACCAAGGCUACGACGGGUAGCUGGUCUGAGAGGAUGACCAGCCACAUUGGGACUGAGAAACGGCCCAGACUCCUACGGGAGGCAGCAGUGGGGAAUCUUGCGCAAAUGGCCUAAACGGCUGACGCAGCGACGCCGCGUGAGGGAUGACGCUCUUCGGAGUGUAAACCUCUUUUGCCUGGAACGAACUAUCAGCUUCAGCUGAUUUGACGGUACCGGUGAAUAAGCACCGGCUAACUCCGUGCCAGCAGCCGCGGUAA